CAUUUGAGAACAGUAUGUUAUUCUGAAGUUGAGACAUUCUCUAGAACAACAUGGGCCUGAUGGUUAAAAAUGGCUUGAUGAAAUGUACGUUCAUACUCCACUUCAUUUCAGUCGGGGCUGUUUGACCAGAAGUAAACGAAUAGCAUAACUAAAACUUCCUGUGUUUCUUAAUCCUUCAGGAGCACCACUUGUUGAAUUGUAUUGUUAACAACAAGGGAGAUCCCCGGUGCAAGGAUUUUCAAAGGCUGCAUCAGAGUUGAAUUCAGGAGCUUGAAGCUUGCAAGUCUGUUCUCUGGGAGCCUGAGAUCUGAGUUGGAAGCCUGGCUGUUACAAGUCUGUUGGGCUAGUGACAGUCUCCACGUUUCAACCUCAUCAGUAAAAUGUGGAAGAUAGAAUGACCUGCCUCUCAGGGUUGUUAUAAGAAUUAAAGGAGUUAGUGCAUAUAAAGUGCUUCACUCAAAAAAUACUUGCUUCAUUUCCGCAUCUGUAGAAUGAGGACAACAAAAAUGCCCACCUCGGAGGGGACGCUGUGAGAACUACAGGAAGUGUUUAAGCCAUAUAGAUAUACUGCUCUCUAACCAGAUUUGGAGAAAUAGUACAAUGCUUUCUUUCUGGAGGAAAAAAAAAAGUUCUUAGAAAGCUGUGGCCUGACGAUGUGUGCUCACAGGACUGGCUUCUCUCCAACCUUCAAAGCCUCAGCCUUGGUUAGCUGCAGCCAGGCCUCUUUUGGAUGGGCCCCCAGCCCUGCCUGCCCUCAGCACUGUUCUCAGCCGCGGCUCCGAGCACCUUACUCACAUGCCAUUUAUCUCCGUUGCUAAUCUGCGGUGAUGCAGCCAGUUUGGAUCCCUUCCCCACCCUCUUCAGUCUGAGGCUGGGUGUCUGUCUCGACCGCUGGGACACCCAGUGUGCAGCUGCAUAUCUGGUACAUGAUAAGCACACAGCAUGCACCUGCCACGUGAGGGAAGGAAGAGAAGAGAGAGCAAAGCUAGGUACAGGGCAGGUGUGGGGGGCAGGCCAGGGCUGGUCACAAAGUUACCUGCACUGAACCCACAGGUGCAGGAAAUGAAACCACCUCUGUAUCUCCAGUGACUCUGCCUUCCUCACAAGCUCUUACCAUCUGGGCUAUGGGUCUGAAUGUAAUCAAAUUCGUUGUACUCAGUAGGGGAUUUGACCAGCCUCUGUUGGGCACCGAGUGCCCCUAGAAUAGUGUCUGGCACAUUUUUGGCAUUCGCUAAUCAUUCUUUGAAACCCUGGAAUUAGGCUGUUUUGAGUAAUUACUGAGUCUUUCAAGAUUUCCCUCAUCUUCCCCUUGCUGAGUUCCCAGGUGAUGCUGGGGUGCUUGUCUUCACGCUGUCUCCUGUACAGCCCUUUGGCUUCUGCAGCAAUUUCCCUUGUCCCCCCCCCCCCCCCCACACACACACAUGAUGGAAUCUCAAUGAAGCCUGGGGCUGGCCCACUCUUGCUUUAUCCUCUCACAGCUCUGGGUCCAGACAAUGAGUCAUCAUGACCCUUGCUGGUCCUACAGAGUCCUUGGGGAUCCACAGUGCAGUGCGUGAAGGUCUGUUGGGUAGCUCUUGGCUCUAGGCUUAUCUGACCUCACAGCAGUCUCCUCAGGCCGAAUGGACUCUUUCAAUAUCACCUGGCAGUACAUAGGAACUUGGUUUCCUGGGAGCACUCUUGGGAGAGCCCAGCCUCUGUCUGACUGACCGACAUGAGGCCUCAUUGGAUUAUAUUACUUCAACGCCUGGGACACGGUGUGGAACAGCUUCAAGAGUGAAGUCCUUACAAUGAUACAAAUCCAAGCUAGAAAGAAUAGGUGUGUUGAAGGUAGAAAAACAGAUGUUAGAACCUAUGCUUCUUUGGCUUUGUUAUGUAUUAAAUUUAGGUUAGAAAUUCUAUGUCCACACAAAUUCUAGUGGCAUGAAGCCUAUGAUAAGGUCAAGAUUGCCAUCUCUCUUAGGCUUAAUUGUGUUAAUUGUAUUUGGUUAAAAUGGAUGGAAAGAAAGAUGACUGACCUCCCCAUCUUUGUGGGCAUGUGCACGUGUGAGUGUGCAAGUCCAGGUGUGGGUGUGCACACGCGACUGUGCAUGUAUGUGUGCACGCACUUGUGCGUGUGUGCCUGUGAAUGCUGUGCUAUGGUUGAGACCUCCCCACAGUUAUAGAACCAGAUGAGAGGACAUUUUAGAUGUCCGCUUUUUAAAGCAUUCCUUCAUGAAGACCAAAAAAAAAAAAAACCAUCUGAACACAAAAUAUCAGGCAGCAGAAAAUUAAUCCAACAGGCAAGACAAAUAAACCCUAACUUCUGCUUGUAUUCACAGAUUUAACUUAUAAUAAUAAAACUACUUGAGAAAUUAAGGCAGAUGUCGUGCUGCUGUUCAGAGGUGCCUGGCUGCUUUAUUUAAUCAGCUUAUCUAACGAAACUGAAGAAGUGGCAGGACACACAGGUAACUGAUAUGCUGGUGAUGCUGGUGGUCAGCCAACUACGGAGAUAGAUCUUCCCAUGCGCCCUUGGACGGGAAGCCCGGAGCCCACCAACUCCACUCGGCCGCUCUGGCCUCCCGCACUGUGCCACCUCUGCUUGCUGGGAUGGAUCCACUUACACGGGGGGACAGGGGACUCCAGCCCAGAACAAAGAUAAAGGAUGGCA